CAACGACACAACACUACAAUGUAACACACACAGAAACGGACCAAGCAUCAGACAAAAUCCCACGAGAAUAACAAAUAUAAGAUCAAAACCAAAUACAAGAAUCUAAGUUCAGUAUUUUUGUGAUUUUACUUUUUAUUAUAUAAUUAUUCGAAUUUGAAAAAAUAUUAUGUUAUAUAUAUUCCGAUUGGAAAAAAUAUUAUAUAAUAUCUUUUCCGACC
rnacentral:lncRNA from 1 species